ensembl:lncRNA
CACAGAGCCAGGGGAGAGAAGAAGAGAAGGCAAAGGGGAAAUAAAAAGGGGAGAGAAGAAGAGAAGCCAAAGGGAAGAGAAGAAGAAAAGCCAAAGGGAAGAGAAGAAGAAAAGCCAAAGGGGAGAGAAGAAGAAAAGCCAAACGGGAGAGAAGAAGAAAAGCCAAAGGGGAGAGAAGAAGAAUAACCAAAGGGGAGAGAAGAAGAAUAACCAAAGGGGAGAGAAGAAGAGAAGCCAAAGGGGAGAGAAGAAGAAUAACCAAAGGGGAGAGGAGAAGCCAAAGGUUAGAGAAGCUACAGUGUCGUUGAUAGAGAACCUCACAGAAUCAUUACUCCGAGAAGUCACUCUGCUCACAGAGGAAAGGGAGAAGAGGCCCGAUUACCCACAAAGCCAGGAGAAAUGGGAGGAGCUGGAGACCCAUGUGGACCCAGUGAGGAG